GACGAACGCUGGCGGCGUGCCUAAUACAUGCGAGUAGAACGCUGAAGGAGGAGCUUGCUUCUCCGGAUGAGUUGCGAACGGGUGAGUAACGCGUAGGUAACCUGCCUGGUAGCGGGGGAUAACUAUUGGAAACGAUAGCUAAUACCGCAUAAGAGUAGAUGUUGCAUGACAUUUGCUUAAAAGGUGCAAUUGCAUCACUACCAGAUGGACCUGCGUUGUAUUAGCUAGUUGGUGAGGUAACGGCUCACCAAGGCGACGAUACAUAGCCGACCUGAGAGGGUGAUCGGCCACACUGGGACUGAGACACGGCCCAGACUCCUACGGGAGGCAGCAGUAGGGAAUCUUCGGCAAUGGACGGAAGUCUGACCGAGCAACGCCGCGUGAGUGAAGAAGGGUUUCGGAUCGUAAAGCUCUGUUGUAAGAGAAGAACGAGUGUGAGAGUGGAAGGUUCACACUGUGACGGUAUCUUACCAGAAAGGGACGGCUAACUACGUG
rnacentral:rRNA from 1 species